UACGGAGGGUGCAAGCGUUAUCCGGAAUCACUGGGUUUAAAGGGCGCGUAGGCGGCCCGCUAAGUCGAACGUGAAAUCCCCAGGCUCAACCUGGGAACUGCGUCCGAUACUGGCAGGCUUGAAUCCGGGAGAGGGUAGUGGAAUUCCCGGUGUAGUGGUGAAAUGCGUAGAUAUCGGGAGGAACACCAGUGGCGAAGGCGACUACCUGGCCUGUUCUUGACGCUGAGGCGCGAAAGCUAGGGGAGCAAACGGG
rnacentral:rRNA from 1 species